rnacentral:lncRNA from 1 species
CUCAAAACCCAAUUCUCUCUCUCUCUCUCUCUCUCUCUCUCUCUCUCGUCUUGCUCUCUAGCAUCUUAUCGGUGAAAGUCGAUGGAGGAUCAACGAUAGAGGAGCUACUUUGUUCUAGCUUCACCAAUCGAUAGUUGUGGUCUGCUAUGUUGCACGUCGCCAAUCGACACUGCUGCGAACUUCUCCAUUGCAGCGUCGACAAAAUCGGUGGCGAGGGCUUUUAGUGUCGGAUUUGGCAGCGAUCUGGCCGUGAACGACGGGAUCUGGCACUGACCUGCAGCAGCAGCGAUCUGGCUGAGAUCUGCAGCAACGGCUAUAACGGGAGGUCGUAGUGGCGGCGAGGAAGGUUUUCUGUUUUGUGUGAUGGUCGGCGACGGAGAAAAAACAUGUGUGUGUUGCGACGGUGGGUACUGUGUGGUCAGUGGUUGUUUUGUGAUUGAGCCGAGGUGAUGGCAGUGGUGGUUGGUAUGGCCGGUGGUGGUAAGUCCGGUGUCAGAUUUGGGAUUUUUCUGGUGUGGUCGUGUGGCCGUGGGUGCGGUGCAGUGGUAGUGAUGGUUUUUGUUGUGGUUGUGGUGGUCAUGACGGUUUACUAGAUUUUGUGACAAGUAAUUGGACCUCGUGACCCUGAAAAUUUUGACUGUGAGUUGGUCGUGACGGUGGUUGUGGCGAUCAUGGUGGCAAUUGUGGCAAUUUGAUCGAUUUAUGACUAAUAAUUGGAUAUGUAACCUGAAAAUUGUGAUUAUG